ACAGGGGGAGUAACAGCUGGAAACGGACUGCUAAUACCGCAUAAGCGCACGAGGAGACAUCUCCUUGUGUGAAAAACUCCGGUGGUACAGGAUGGGCCCGCGUCUGAUUAGCUGGUUGGCAGGGUAACGGCCUACCAAGGCAACGAUCAGUAGCCGGUCUGAGAGGGUGAACGGCCACAUUGGGACUGAGACACGGCCCAAACUCCUACGGGAGGCAGCAUG
rnacentral:rRNA from 1 species